UUAGUUAUCUCUAGACAUUCCAGUAUGAUGCACGUGAAAAUAAUUAGAUCAAGAUUUAGGUAUUUACUUUAGAUUAUUUUUAAUAACGACAUACGUGAGUAACUUAGAUACAAAUUUAAAAUAAUAUUUUAAGUUAUGUUUUAUAAUCGUAUGUAUGAGUAAAUUGGAUGAAGAUUAUGGUGUUACUUUAGAUUACUUUUUAUAAUGGCAGAGCUUGGUAAUUUAGAUAUAGGUUUAGGGUUUUUCUUUUAGAAUAUUUUCAUAACGACAGUGGUGGGGUGGUGGGUAAGUUUUUAGAAAUAUAAUAGACCAUUGACUAUGAUUAUUAGAGUUUACAGGAUUGAUGUUUGAUGUUUCUGAUUUUUGUGAGAAUUUCUAAGAUUUGUAUUUCUUUCUAGCGUGUCUCGUAAGAACUAAUGCGGAGUCUCCAAUGAAAAAAAAUGAGACCACAUUACUAAAAAACUAUUACUUUGAGAAACUUCUUAUUCGUUAACUGUUCGAACUCAAUACUUAUAUAUAUAUACUUAUUAUUUAUAUUCGAACUCAAUACUUAUAUAUAUACUUAUUAUUUAUAUUCGAUUGUGAUAAAUUUUAAUUAGUAAUUAGUCUAUAACAUUUUCAUCCACAUUUAUAAUCUUUAACUUUUCACUUUGCAUCGCAGAUUUGCGCUCGAAUUUGUUUAAUGGACCCUAAGUUUGAGUUAUAAUUUUAACAUAGAAAUACAUAUUCUCAC
rnacentral:lncRNA from 1 species